UACGUAGGGCGCAAGCGUUGUCCGGAAUUAUUGGGCGUAAAGAGCUCGUAGGCGGUUUGUCGCGUCUGCUGUGAAAACCCGGGGCUCAACCCCGGACUUGCAGUGGGUACGGGCAGACUGGAGUGUGGUAGGGGAGACUGGAAUUCCUGGUGUAGCGGUGGAAUGCGCAGAUAUCAGGAGGAACACCGAUGGCGAAGGCAGGUCUCUGGGCCACUACUGACGCUGAGAAGCGAAAGCAUGGGGAGCGAACAGG
rnacentral:rRNA from 1 species